rnacentral:rRNA from 1 species
CCUACGGGUGGCAGCAGUGGGGAAUAUUGGACAAUGGGCGAAAGCCUGAUGCAGCGACGCCGCGUGAGUGAAGAAGUAUCUCGGUAUGUAAAGCUCUUUUAGCAGGGAAGAAAAAAGAGGGUAUAUGACCAGGAUGAGCCGGCUCACUACGCGCGCGCAGCCGCGGUCAUACGCAGGGGGCAAGCGUGUUCCGGAUUUACUGGGUGUAAAGGGAGCGUGUAGGGGGCGGCAAGUCUGAAGUGAAAGGCACGGGCUUAACCCCUGGACUGCAUUGGAAACUGUUAUGCUAGAGUGCUGGAGAGGCAGGUGGAAUGCCUGGUGUAGCGGUGAAAUGCGUAGAUAUUAGGAGGAACACCAGUGGCGAAGGCGGUCUACUGGACAGUAACUGACGCUGAGGCGCGAAAGCGUGGGGAGCAAACAGGAUUAGAUACCCGGGUAGUC